GUGGGGAAUAUUGGACAAUGGGGGAAACCCUGAUCCAGCGACGCCGCGUGAACGAUGAAGUAUUUCGGUAUGUAAAGUUCUAUCAGCAGGGAAGAAAAUGACGGUACCUGACUAAGAAGCCCCGGCUAACUACGUGCCAGCAGCCGCGGUAAUACGUAGGGGGCAAGCGUUAUCCGGAUUUACUGGGUGUAAAGGGAGCGCAGGCGGUAGAUCAAGUCUGAUGUGAAAACCCAAGGCUUAACCAUGGGAAUGCAUUGGAAACUGGUUUACUUGAGUGUCGGAGAGGUAAGCGGAAUUCCUAGUGUAGCGGUGAAAUGCGUAGAUAUUAGGAGGAACACCAGUGGCGAAGGCGGCUUACUGGACGAUAACUGACGCUGAGGCUCGAAAGCGUGGGGAGCAAACAGG
rnacentral:rRNA from 1 species